CAGCAAAUCAUUGGAGGUCCCUUCUUCUCCCAGUUGUGCUGUGUUGGGCUCAGAGGGUAGAAUGGCCGUGGUAGGCACUAGUGAUGGCUCACUAUACAUCUUUGAUACACAGAGUGGGGAGGUGAGUUGAGCUCUCAAUUUGUUUAGUAAUAGGGCAUCUUAUGUUGCUCUUUGGUUUUGGAAUAUAUCCUAAUUUGGACGACCAGGGAUUCACAUAGCCCCCUUCCUGGCCAGGUAAAAAGGUAACAUUCAUUCUAUACACACACUGUAAAUAAAUAUUCAAUGAAUGUCAUUUUAUUGGGAUCUAAUUUUAUUUAGAGAUUUACCAGUAGUUGCUGCAUUUCCCACCCUAGUCUUAUUCUCGAGUCAAUUAUUUUUCCCAGUUUU